CUCUUCUCUCUCUCUCUCUGUCUCUCUCUCUUUCUCUCUCUCCUGCUCUGCCAUGGGAAGAUGUGCCUACUUCCCCUUUGCCUUCCACCGUGACUGUACAUUUCCUGAGGACUCCCUAGCCAUGCUUUCUGUACAGCCUGCUGAACUCUCUGCCCAAAUUUCAGCUGUCACAGAAUGAGUGAUCCUCAUAGUAUAAUGGAAAUGCAUCAUCUCAGUUUCCCCAUGGCCUGAAUGUCCAUACAAAAUGAGAGCCAGUAGAGAAAAACAGAGGACGUGAGGAGUUUUUAAAAAUUGAGGAAAAGUGGAAGGAAAAGUAAGGAUGAAGGUGAAGAUGAAGGAAUAUGUCAGAGAUGCUAGCACUGGCAUCCCCCACCACACAGUACCAUGUACUGCUAAAGAACUCUAGAACAUACAGGGUGUAGACGGCAGUCUUCUUGGGGAAAAAGAGGCUUCAGGAUUGCAAGAUUUCAGCUACUGUCUCUCCUCGGAGCAGGAUUCCAUCUUUUCCAUGGCUGGGGCCCUUGACACAUGUCACUGUGCACUGCUCUUCUCGCUGGGAUUUCCAAAAGACCUUGGCUCAGGUGUCACUUUUGCAGAAAAGCAUUUACUGACUGUUGACUUGGCCAAAUCCCUGUGCUGUGUUUCCUAGUACGGUAAAUCAACUGUAUCCAGUAGUGGGACAGAUGCAGCAUGAAAGAAGAAAGUUACAAUUGCUUUAUCUGAUGCUGUCACUCAUGCCUGGUGUUGAGAGGCGCACAUUUUAAAAAGUCUAAUAGCUCCGACAUAUCUAGGAAACAGAUGGGAAACAAAUGAAGCAUUGAUGGAUUCGCAAAUUCCAGUUCUUUGAUAUUUGUCUGCCCAGGAAUGGGUGGGACAGAGAAAUGCUCAAUUUUCCUCCCUAAAAAUGACAUUGAAGUCCUAACCCGCAGUACUUCAGAAUGAUUACAUUCUGGUGACAUCUCUUCAGAAACAGGGUCUUCUUAGAGCCACACCCUUGGGACUGCAGCCCUGUGAAGACUGAGGUUCUGACGAAAGUCAAGAAAAAUCUGCAUUGCAACUCUUCGAAGAGAAGAAUGUGACAUCUUGUGUCGUUUUCCAGAGGCAGCUGCAUAAAUCACAGGAGACUGAAUACAGGAGAAGAUGUAAGAAUCCAGUCAGCUUCUAUCAAACCAGACAUAAAAGACAUUUGCAGAUAUGUAAAACAAUGCCACUCUUCACAUUGCAUUUUUAAAAAAUAUUAUUUCCCAGAAAAUAUAUCAUCUAUGUUAAUAUGGAAUGGGGUUUGUUAUUCUUAUUUUAAGUAAGGUAUUAUAUAAAUAUUUUUAAUGUCUCAGUUUUAAUUUCUAAUGAAGUCAAUAUCAAUAGAUGUAAUCUAUAUAAACCAAAGUUCUCCGGGGUCUUCAAGAGUGUAAAGGAGUCCUGAGAUCAAAAGGGAUGAAAACCUCUGCCCUACCCUGGCCACCUAAGGGGCUGAAGCCCUCCAGGAGCAGUGCUCCCGGCUCUUGCUGCUGCCCCAGAGCUGAGGGUUUUGGAGCACUGGUGCCCUACAAAACGGAGAGACUGGAAGGAGUUUUCUGGGUCAUGAGGUUGGAACUGCUGGCAGAAGAUCACAGCAUAACUUUCUUCUGGGUUAUAGGAAGAAAUAUAUAAGUAGA
rnacentral:lncRNA from 10 species